rnacentral:rRNA from 1 species
UACAGAGGGUGCAAGCGUUUGUUCGGAAUUAUUGGGCGUAAAGGGCGCGUAGGCGGUGCGGUAAGUCUGUAGUGAAAUCUCUGGGCUCAACUCAGAGUCUGCACGGGGAAAACUGCGGGGGCUUGAGUGUGGGGAGAGGUGAGUGGAAUUCCCGGUGUAGCGGUGAAAAUGCGUAGAUAUCGGGGAGGAACACCCUGUGGCGAAA